GGCUGGGAGUAUGAGCUUGAGAGAGGUGUCAGAUGCAUCUAGUGGGCAACAAGCUUCAAAAGAAAAUGAAUAGAGACAUCAUCUUCUUCUCCUUGUCCUUGUACAUUCCAUUCUUUUCCUCUCUUAUCAGGUCCAAUCUCUAGGAUUGCUUCUUCUAAAAUGACAAAACUGAAGAAACUGAAGAAUGACAUUCCAUUUCUUCCCGGGAAAUCUUUUUUUAGAUUCUUAUUUUCCUUCGUGCAGAGUUUCUGCAUAACUGUGGGAGAUAUGUGUGCAGGGCUUGGUCAAAAAUUAUAUCCAGAAGUUUGGUAUACCAUAUAAUUCUGGUUAUCUUGAGCUUAAUGAGGGAGACUUCAAAAUUACCUUGAGCUUAAUUUUGGUAUGCCAUAUAAUUCUGGUUACCUUGUUCUGGACAAAUGGUCUCUAGUUGUGGGGGUUUAUCACUGUUUUGUAGCUCACAUCCUAAAUGAUUUCUUUAUGUUCGGAAUCAUGUGACAAUGCAGUAUAAAAGCUUACCUUUUUCAAUUGUGGAGAGGGAGGUUUUCCCCUCGUCAUAUUGCUUUCAUUUCUUGCACUGGGGAGUACAAGGUGUUAUGCCAGUUCAUUGAUAGAGUGGAGAAACACCCGAGCAAGAAAAUUGAUAAGAAGAUUGGCCAGUUCUGGGUUGUAUUUUUUUCAUAAAAGAACUUUUCCCAAGCUUUUAGUUGUAAUAACUUUUACAUAUGGCUCAAAUUUUGAGACUCAAAUAGAAUGUUCAAUCAAACUAUAAUGCUAUACUGUCUGAAUUCUUGUCAUUGUUA